CUGCCACACUGGGACUGAGACACGGCCCAGACUCCUACGGGAGGCAGCAGUGGGGAAUUUUGGACAAUGGGGGCAACCCUGAUCCAGCCAUGCCGCGUGUCUGAAGAAGGCCUUCGGGUUGUAAAGGACUUUUGUCAGGGAGGAAAUCCCUAAGGCUAAUACCCUUGGGGGAUGACAGUACCUGAAGAAUAAGCACCGGCUAACUACGUGCCAGCAGCCGCGGUAAUACGUAGGGUGCAAGCGUUAAUCGGAAUUACUGGGCGUAAAGCGUGCGCAGGCGGUUUGAAAAGUCAGCUGUGAAAGCCCCGGGCUCAACCUGGGAACUGCGGUUGAAACUCUCAAGCUAGAGUGCGUCAGAGGGGGGUGGAAUUCCACGUGUAGCAGUGAAAUGCGUAGAGAUGUGGAGGAACACCAAUGGCGAAGGCAGC
rnacentral:rRNA from 1 species